AUGGCUCAGCUGCACUUGCAUCACGGCAUUUUGCAAAAGGCAAAGUUGCACAUUAAUACAGACACCAGCCGGGUAAGGAUGGCACCCAGAGGCCCCGAAGGGGGAGGAGACGGCAGCACUUAUGGGCAGCCCUGGGCCUUCAGACGCUGUCGGCGCCCGGUGGGAGCCGGUCCCGGCACCUCCCUCCUGCCCACCACGUGGGCUCCUGGGUUCCCUCGCCGGCCUCCCCUCUCUGCCCGUCCGGCGGCCGGUUCCGGUGGGCUCCCCCUCUCUUUUGCCUUCCUGUCCCUUCCACCUCAAAACCAGCUGGCAGGAGCCUGGGCCAGGGGUCUCUGCCGUCUCCGGCCUCAGUUUGCUCAUCUGUCCAGUGGGGAGGGGAGGCCUCGGGGCCGGGGGCCGCGCCGCCGGGGCCGUUCCCACGCGAGCACAGGCGCGCGCGGCCCGCGGGACACUCGGGACCCCGGUGCCCCCCGCCCACAGCGCCCCGUCCGUGUGUGUGCCCACGCCCGCGCCGCCCGAGGCGAGCAUCUCCCGGCUGAGCCCCCCGGGGCCGCACGGCCCGUUCCCUCCCGCUCCCCGCUCCCCCGGCCCGAGCAGAGCUCGGGCUCCCGCGCCCGGCGGCGCCCGGCGGCAAACUUUCCCCCCCGGGCUCCGGGGCCGGGGCGCGGGUGUCAGGGCGAGGCCGCGGAGGCGGCGGGAGCCCCGCACCUGGAGCGCGGCGCGCCCCGAAGCCGGACUGCCGGCCGUGCCGGGGACGCCGGAGCCGAGCGGGGCGCGCGGUGCUGGGAGGCGAUGAAUGAGCGGGGCGGCGGGGCGGGCUCCCGCGGUGACACGGGGGUGUGAGCCGGUCCCGCACGCUGCCCCCAGUUCCGCGCUGCAGGCGCUCCGCUCGCCCGUCCUCCCUCCCCGGUUUCCGGCCCUCCCCGAAGGCUCGGGGUUAUUUGGGCAUAAAGGGGUUUUUGUUUGGUUUGUUUUUUUCUUUUUUAAUUUCCUUACUCAGAAUUUCCUCUUUCUUUGUCUUUUUGGUUGUUGCUGCUUUUUUUUAGUUCGCAGAAGAAAAGAAUCCCUGGGCGGUUGAGCAGGGUGUGCCGAGUAAACACGCAAGGAAGCCUCUUUCUCCUUAAAACAAACCUUUGCCGUAUUUACCCGGCGAGAGGCAUCGGGCGCAGCCCGGGGGCGGGGGCGUGCGCGGGGCCGGAGCAGCGCUUCCAACUGGGGGAGCUGGGGCGGGGGCGCCGGGCCGGCAUGCGUCCCCUCCGAGUGCGCGGAAGCUCGCUCCCUCCCUCCCGAGGAGCCUGCCUUACUUCCAGCCCCCCAAAUUAACAGGGAGGGAAACUGAGGUCAGGGAGCGGCUGCAAGGACGUCCCGGCUCUCCCCACUGCUCCCUGCGGCCUCCUCUUUGCAACAAGCCCCGAUGAGCGGGCCCUGCACCACCUCCUAUCUAGCAGGACCGGACCGAGAAUGGAAGGGGCCCACCAGGCCCGGUCCUCUUUGUCCCCCAGCCCCCUGCGCCGCUCGGGUGCCAGCUGAGGAGGAAGAGAAUGGGGGCUGCUGGCCCUCCCCCCAUUUAGACCUAGGGAUCUGCUCUGGUGACCCCUGAGGAUGCCCUGCGACCCCAGAGCCAGUCGGGCAGCUUCUUUUCACUGUCCCCCCUCACGGGGUCUCUUGGUGCAGCCCAUCCUCGGGGAGCUGGGGAAGCGGGCAGGGGAGCUGCCUUCCAGCCUGGGCUGCCCCACUGUCUACCCGGUCUCCCGGAUGUGCUCAUAAAACACAGAUGGUGCAAAGUGGGCAAGGGAAGGCUCCGGAGCACGCUCCCUCCUGUGCCCACACACGUCCCCGCUCGGCCCCGGGGCCCAAACCCGGGGGCCUCCUCGGGCUCCCGGCGCCCCUCGGAACCAGGCUCCCACUCCCUGCUCCUCCUGUCAUCUGAGGUGAGGAACACGCCCUUCAGCUGAUGCAACCGUCGGGCUAGAUUUCCUAUCUCUUCCAUCUCAUCACAGGACCAGGCUGUAUUGUCCCCUCCUCCCUCCUCCACAUUCUCUGGGGAGAAGGGAACGGGCUCCUUCUGCCGACUCUUUCCAUCUCCUAGUCCUCCCCAGCCCUCCGAGGCCCCGCUCCGGCUCAGCUCCUCGGCCUUCCCGGGGCUGGCCCCCCUCCGUCUCCAGGGAGACCCCCAGGACCGGUGGGGAGGGCAGGGCUCCCCAUCCCGGGGCCGGAGAAGGGGAGGGAGCGAGCGGGGCUUCUUUAAGGAAGGGCUCGGCUGACAUCACGCUGGCCUGGUGUGUUCUUUGUGUUUAC
rnacentral:lncRNA from 1 species